CCCUUAAGGCUCAGAUCAGUAUAAUCAGGGCAAAGGAGACAAUGCAUCCGCCAUGGCGACUGACCUCAGCUGCACUACAGCUCAAUCAGCUCACAGUACCUUCCGGAUCGCCCCACCAAGAUACGGACCCAGCUCCCUUGCCCCUAUGAACUCUAGACAGCUUAAAUCAUCACAGCCUCUAAUUUAUAACAGCAACAACAACAGCAACAGCGAAAACCCAUUUCAAGGAUUUCAAUGCUGAUCAUGGAUGAUGAUGAUGAUGAAGAAGUUUCGGUAUGCAUGUUGCAGAAAGUUCCAAUUUUAAGGCUCAGAUCAGUAUAAUCAAAGCAAAGGAGACAAUGCAUCCACCAUGGCUGCACUACAAAUAGGGUCUUCCAGGUUGCCCCGCCAAGAUGCGGGUCCAGCUCCCUUACCCUAUGAACUCGAGACACCAUAAUCAUCACAGCCUCUCAUCCAUAAAAGCAACAACAACGGCAAAACCCUUAUCAGUAUAUGUCUAGAGAGAUAUAUGUGUGUAUGUCUACCCUUUUUUGGGCAUUCUUUAAGGCUCAGAUAAGGAGACAAUGCAUCCGCCAUGGCUGCAGACAUCAGCUGCACUACAGCUCAAUCAGCUCAUAGUACCUUACAGGUCGCCCCGCCAAGAUACGGACCCAGCUCCCUUUCCCUUGUGAACUCUAGACAGCUUAAAUCAUCACAGCCUCUAAUCCGUAACAGCAACAACAAUAUCAACAACAACAGUGAAAACCCAUUUCAAGGAUUUCAACGCUGACCAUGGAUGAUGAUGAUGAAGAAGUUUCUAUAUACAUACUGCAGAAAGUUCCGAUUUUAAGGCUCAGAUUUACAAAAUGAGGGCAAAGGAGACAAUGCAACCGCCAUGGCUGCAAACCUCAGUUGCACUACAAACAUAGUACCUUCCAGGUUGCCCCGCCGAGAUACGGGCACAGCUCCCUUACCCCAUGAACUCCAUAUAUCAUCACAGCCUAUCAUCCGUAAAAGCAACAACAAUAUCAUCAUCAUCAUCAACAACAACAACAACAACAAAAACCCAUGUCAUGAAUUUCAAUGCCAGAAAAAGGAGAAGAAGAAGAAGCAACAACAAAAUGGUCAAAUCUUAAAACCUUACCCCUUCAUUCUUUUAUUGUGUGUGUAUGUAUACAUACUGCAAAAACUUCCGAUUCAAUGCAACAGCUUAACCAAACGACCCUUAAGAUAAAAUGGUGGUUUAUUUUUCACUUUAUUUUUUCACCAGAAAAUGGAAAUCAACGGUUAAACAGAGAGAGGGCAACCACCAUUAGAAGACACCCCAAUACCUCUCUGUUUGCCUCAUUUUCAAAAAUUCAUAGAUUAUAUAUAUAUAAAUAUAUAUAUAUAGAGAGAGAGAGAAAGAGAGAGAGAUGUAUAUGUAUACACACUGCAGAAACUACUGAUUUUAAGGCUCAGAACAGAAUAAUCAGAGCAAAGGAGGCAAUGCAUCCGCCAUGGCUGCACUUCAAAUAGGCUUUCCAGGUUGCCCCGCCGAGAUACGGAUCCAGCUCCCUUGCCCCAUGAACCCUAGAGACCUUAAAUAUCACAGCCUCUAAUCCUUAAGGGGUCGUUUGGUUGGGAACAAGUUAUUGGAGAUUAGUUAUCACACCAUGUAUAUGGGAUAACUUAUUCCAUCACUAUGCAUAAAUGGUGGAUUAAAUAAUCCCAAGACUAAAUCAUGCAUUUUAUCCCAGGACUAUCAUGCCUUAUACCUUAUGCCUCAUACCUCAUGCCAAACGACUCCUAAGAGCAACAACAACAACAUCAACAACGGCAAAACCCUUCUCAGAAUAUAUCACCAGUCAUAAGAUUUUCCUGUAUAUAUGUAUAGAGAUAUGUAUGUGUAUAUGUAUACCCUUUUUUGGGGCAUUUUUAAGGCUCAGAUCAGUAUAAUCAGGGCAAGGGAAACAACCCAUCCGCCAUGGCUGCAGACCUCAGCUGCACUACAGCUCAAUCAGCUCAUAGUACCUUACAGGUCGCCCCGCCAAGAUACGGACCCAGCUCCCUUUCCCUUGUGAACUCUAGACAGCUUAAAUCAUCACAGCCUCUAAUCCGUAACAGCAACAACAAUAUCAACAACAACAGUGAAAACCCAUUUCAAGGAUUUCAACGCUGACCAUGGAUGAUGAUGAUGAAGAAGUUUCUAUAUACAUACUGCAGAAAGUUCCGAUUUUAAGGCUCAGAUUUACAAAAUGAGGGCAAAGGAGACAAUGCAACCGCCAUGGCUGCAGACCUCAGUUGCACUACAAACAUAGUACCUUCCAGGUUGCCCCGCCGAGAUACGGGCACAGCUCCCUUACCCCAUGAACUCCAUAUAUCAUCACAGCCUAUCAUCCGUAAAAGCAACAACAAUAUCAUCAUCAUCAUCAACAACAACAACAACAACAAAAACCCAUGUCAUGAAUUUCAAUGCCAGAAAAAGGAGAAGAAGAAGAAGCAACAACAAAAUGGUCAAAUCUUAAAACCUUACCCCUUCAUUCUUUUAUUGUGUGUGUAUGUAUACAUACUGCAAAAACUUCCGAUUCAAUGCAACAGCUUAACCAAACGACCCUUAAGAUAAAAUGGUGGUUUAUUUUUCACUUUAUUUUUUCACCCGAAAAUGGAAAUCAACGGUUAAACAGAGAGAGGGCAACCACCAUUAGAAGACACCCCAAUACCUCUCUGUUUGCCUCAUUUUCAAAAAUUCAUAGAUUAUAUAUAUAUAAAUAUAUAUAUAUAGAGAGAGAGAGAAAGAGAGAGAGAUGUAUAUGUAUACACACUGCAGAAACUACUGAUUUUAAGGCUCAGAACAGAAUAAUCAGAGCAAAGGAGGCAAUGCAUCCGCCAUGGCUGCUACCCAGUGUAUUCCCACAAAGUGGGGUCUGGGGAGGGUAAAGUGUACGCAGUCCAUAUCACUACCUCAGAUGAAGUAUAGAGGCUAUUUCCAAUAGACCCCGGCACAGGACAAAUAACUCUUGUCCUCGUCCAUAACAGCAGCAAACAAAACAACAACUAUAUCAACCACGUCAAAAAAAAACUUUUUCAAGGAUUCAUGCAUGUAUGUGUACCUGUAUACAUACUGCAUGCCCUAUUUUCAGCUCAAAUAUACAAAAUGAGGACAAAGGAGACAAUGCAUCCACCAUGGCUGCAGACCUCAGCUGCACUACAGCUCAAUCAAGUAUAAUCAGAAACUUCUGAUUUUAAGGCUCAGAUCAGUAUAAUCAUACAUCAAACAUUGCUGCAGAACCUCGGUUGCUCUACAAAUAAGGCCUUCCCGGUCGCCCCGCCAAGCUACGGGCAUAGCUCCGUUACCCCAUGAACUCUAGACACCACAAUCAUCACAGCCUCACAUUGUAACACCACCACCAACAACAACAACAACAACAUCAACGACAGCGAAACCCCAUUUCAAGGAUUUCAAUGCAAGCCAUAUAUGAUGAUGAUGAGUAAAGAGAAGAAGCAACAACUAAAGGAUCAAAUCUUAAGCCCUAAACCCUUAAUUUCUUUAUAUAUAUAUAUAUAUAGAUAGAUAGAUAGAGAGAGAGAGAGAGAGAGAGAGAGAGAGAGAGAGAGAUUAUUGUGUAUGUAUACAAACUGCAGAAACUUUUUCUAAUUUCAUCGAAAGUUUCAAUGCAACAGCGUAACCAAACAGACACUUAAGGCUCAGAUCAGUAUAAUCAGGACAAAGGAGACAAUGCAUCCGCCAUGGCUGCUGACCUCAGCUGCACUACAGCUCAUAUUACCUUCCAGGUCGCCCCACCAAGAUACGGACCCAACUCCCUUACCCCCACGAACUCUAGACAGCUUAAUCAUCACAGUGUAUCAUUUAUAAUAGCAACAACAUCAACAACAACGACAAUAUCAGCUUGGUAUGUGUGUAUGUAUGCAUACUGCAGAAACUUUUCGAUUUUCAGCGAAAUUUUCAAUGCAACAGCUUAACCAAACAGACCCUUCAGAUAAAAUCAGGCAAAAAGGAGACAAAGCAACCGCCAUGGCUGCAGACCUUCAGUUGCAAGACAAUGGAAGCUACCAUACCGGGUCGCCCCGCCAAGAUACGGGUCAGCUCCAAAUACCCGACCCGACCCGAACUCUAGACAGCUUAAUCAUCACAGCCUAUCAUUCGUAACAGCAACAACAACAACAAUAUCAGCUUAAUGUGUGUGUAUGUAUACAUACUGCAGAAACUUUUUCGAUUUUCAUCGAAAUUUAUCAUGCAACAGCUUCAACCAAACAGAGCCUUAAGAUAAAAUCAGGCAAACAAGGAGACAAAGCAAACCGCCAUGGCUGCAGGUCUUUCCGGGUCGCCCCGCCAAGAUACGGGUUAAGCUCCAAAUACCCGACCCAACCCGAACUCUAGACUGCUUAAUCAUCACAGCCUAUAUCAUUCGUAAAAGCAACAACAAUAUCAGCUUUGAGUGUGUAUAUAUAUGUGUGUGUAUGUAUACAUACUGCAGAAACUUUUCGAUUUUCAUCGAAAUUUUUCAUGCAACAGCUUAACCAGACCCUUAAGAUAAAAUCAGGCAAAGCAACCCGCCAUGGCUGCAGACCUUGCCGGGUCGACCCGCCAAGAUACGGGUUAAGCUCCAAAUACCCGACCCGAACUCUAAUAGUGUGUGCCUAUGACUCUCCGUUUUCAAUGCAACAUCUUAACCAAACAGACCCUUAAGAUAAAAUUGUGGAUUAUAUUUUUGGCGGGAAAAUGGAAAUAAUUGGCGAAAACAGAGAGGGCAACCACCAUUAAAAGACUCCCCAUUACCUCUGUUUCGCUCAAUUUUUAUUUUUCGUCUUAAGUUGAAGAAAAAUGAAAAUUGUUAAGGGGAUUUUAUACUAUUUUUUUUUGUUUUUUCAUUCCCAAUUAAUGUGAAUUCAGCCCAUUUAGCUAUUCCUCCCAACAGAGUUUUCUCCAUAGCUAGGAUCGAAUCAUCAAUCUUUGGUUAGCAGGAUUUUAUACUAUAGUUUCAUUGAUACAUUUUUUUAAAUAUGUUUUAAGAAAAUGAUCCUUUUUAUUUUAGUAACCCUUUCAUUCCAAUUUUUCAAAUUAAUAUUU
rnacentral:lncRNA from 1 species